GUGGUUUACAUGUGUUAUUCAAAGACUAUAGCAUCUGCUUUGCGUGCAGAAGGUCCCAGGUUCAAUCCCUGGCAUCUCCA